rfam:Triticum aestivum genome assembly, contig: Triticum_aestivum_CS42_TGACv1_scaffold_570052_7AS
UAAAUACUCCCUCCGUCCCAAAAUUCUUGUCUUAGAUUCGUCUAGAUACGGAUGUAUCUAAUACUAGAAUGUGACUUGAUACAUCCGUAUUUAGAAAAAAUUAAGAUGAGAAUUUUGGGAUGGAGGGAGUACAAG